rnacentral:lncRNA from 1 species
CAAUUGCUAUUAGAAACAAAUAAGUCGUACUAGCUGCAAGUAAUAUUUAUGGCGGACAUCAAAAAGCUUUAAAUGGAAUGAAACUUGUGUAGAAGAAAUCGAGGAAAACCAUUUUGAACUGCUGUUACUUAAUAGCUGUUAGAGCCGAUCCAGUAUUCUUCAUCAAUGGUAUAUGCUGGAGCAAUUGCUGUUAAAAAUCCACAAGCCGUACUAUCUGCAAAUAUUAUUGUGGUGAUCAAAAAGCUUGACAUGGAAUGAAAUUUGCAGGAAAAGACUCAGAAAGACCAUUUAGGACUGUACUUAAUAGCUGUUGAAAAGUGGUCGCAGUCCUUUAUCAAUGAUAUCUCCUCAUUUUCUUAACAAUGGAUAUCUACAGUUGCUCCUACUCCUCACUUUCCUCUUUCACUCGACAUAAAGCAGACUCAAUACUCCUCAAUGCCUCACCAAGGUUCGUUAGCUUCAUUAAUAGUGUUAUUGUUUCAAUAAAUUUGUUUAUUGGUUUUUAUCCUCUUACUAUGUAAUUACAUCAGGCGUCAUUUUAAUGUUAAUUUUUUGUAAAAUUUUGAUAAUCUGGAUAGAAACCUUUAUUUUUUCUUAAGCUUUUGCAAUAUAAAACACUAGUUAAGAGCAAUACACUUUAUUUUAUGAAUAGGACCAUUAUCUCUGUUGAUAUUGUUUUUAUAUUUGUGCUUUGUGUUGCCUCUAGUUUGAGGGAUGUUUGAUUAAUUUUAAAUCAUUCAAAUCAAUGCAAUAAUCUUUAUGGAGGAUAUGUUGAGCAACAUAAUACUAAUCUGUUACAAUUUUUCAUUUCAAGCUUUUUUUCAAUCUCACCUAUCUUAUAUUUUACUUCCAUUCACUCAGUUCAAUCAUUAAAUUGUUAUUAAAUAAAACUAUAUUGUAUUCUGGAUUUCGUAAAAGGUAUUUUUUAAAAGAAUUAAAAACAAUCUUUAUAGACUCAUUUCCAAUUUAUUUUUAUCUUGUAUUAUUUAUAUUUUCCUAAGCUUCUCUGAGUUUAUUCCAGAUCAUCAAAAUUAUAUUUUUUAUACUUGCGCAGCUGCGUCACUAUAGCCCUAUGAACACAAGUAUUAUUUUGGUUUUACAGUGUAUGUUUUUUAAUAUUUCAUUUAUUGUAUUAACGCGAAACUAAAUUUUAUAGAAUUUAACUAACUUUAUCUUCAUCCGGAUGAUAAUUUAAUAGUUAAUGGUCAAUUUAAUAUUUUUUCAUAAAAAUUAAAUGUGAUUAUUGAAUACCAAUGUCAAGCCAGUAGAAAUGAUUUAUUAGUGUUUAUUUUUUUGAAAUAAUUUUUUUAUUAAAUCAAUUUUGGAUACUUGUGUUCAUAUAGUUUUUUUUUGCUUUUGAGAAUUAUUUUUGGUACCCUAACACAGAUGUUUUUAAUCAAUUUAUAUGAUUUUAAAAUAUGUUUAUAUCUAUUUUGUAUUUAAAUUUUAGCGAUAAAGUUUGUUUCUUUAACACAGAGAGCAAUGCACUUCAUGCAUUGUUUUCUUUUUUAUGUGCAGAAUUCUCUUUAUAUACAGUAUGUCCUCAGAACGUCUUUACAAGAGCAAAAGCUUUUUUUUUAUUAACAUUUUCAUAAAAAAUACAUUUCUUAUAAAAAUAUUUUUCUUUUUAAUAUUUUCAUUUUAAUUUAUUUAACAAAUAUAUUGUGUGAGCAUAUUCGUAGAUAUACUGUGCGAUUCAAGUAUAUUUAUACUAAAAUUGUUUUUUUUAAAUGCAAUAAAAGUAAUCCAAUCAAAAUUGCAUAAAUUAGUUGUUUUAGAACCUUUAGUAUUACUGGUUGCCUAAUCGAUUCUUAUGUAAUGUUGUGGUAAUGUUCUUAUUAUUUAAAAAAAUCUUAUUUCCAGUAGUAAUUUUUUCUCUCAAUUUUAGUAUUUAAAAUGUCUCUGAAAAAUACAAACUGAUGUUUGCUAUGUGUUAAUAAAAUCGUUACACUUGCGUUUAAGAUAAUUAAUUACUGCUAUAUAAUUUUUUUAUAAAAUAUGAAACAAACUUUAUCUCUUAAAAUUUAUGAAUUUUACAUAUGAAAAUGGUCUGCUAGGGUAUAUAAUAUAUUUAUUGUAGGAUCAAUUGAAAUAUCAUAAGCCAUGAUAUAAAAAUUAACACUUGUAUAUACAUAUUUGUUAAAUAUAUAAUUUUAAGAUAAAACACAUUUUUACACAAAAAUAAUAAUUCUAGUUUUAUAUGUGGCAUAUCGUUUUUCAGUUGGUCCUUCAACAUUUAAAAUCUUUUGGCAUAGAAUUCAUUCCACUUAAAUGUCCCAAAAAGAUAUAUUUUAAUACCAGUUUUGUAUGUUAUUUGGUGUAUUAGAAUUUUAUAAAUAUUGUUUUUAAUAUUUUGUUAAUAAUAGUGAUCUAUAGCUUACCUUUGCUAUCUGUAAUAAGAAAUAUUUCUAAAUAUUUUUUGUCGAAAAUAAAUAUUACUUUAUAACAUUUAUUAAGCAAAAUAAAUUUGCAGAUCCCUAUUAUUAUCAAAGAGAUAUCAUUAAAGUAUUUCAAUACAAUAUCUUUUUUUUUUUCAAACGUCAUAAAACUAUUAAUUUUUGCAACGUGAUGGCAACAAAGAUUGACAUAAUAUAAAAAAGUAAUUUUUACGCUUAAACACAAAAGUGCAAGAAUUAUUAUUAAACUGACAUUAAGUGUCAGAUUUAACAAGCGUAACCAUAAUUUCUCGAUAUAUAAUUACUUACAAAAUAUUACUUUUAAAUAUUUUUAUAUUUUUGCAAUUUUUGAAAUUGUUUAAAACAUUAUUUGUGACGUUUGAAAAAAGAACAUGUUCUGUUCGGAGUAAAAAUGACUUUUCACGAACGUACAGUCUCGCCGCAAAAAGUAUAAUUUUUACUCCUAAUAAAACAAUAUACCGUAUGAUCGAAAAAAACGGCGUCCAGUUGGCUUGGAAAUGAACAUCAAUUACAUUUCUCAUAUAAUUUUAUAUAUAAAAUGACAGCAAUCUUCAUUUUAUAGCCAUCGCCGACGCCAUUUUUAUUCGAUAAUAUUGUACUAUUUCUGUACAAAUGUUAUUAUCUGUUUUGUAUAUAAUAUUAUUGUAAUCUAUUGCUGUAUUUUUGUUAUAAAAUUGCUUUGUAUACAUCUAUAUUUUGUAAGCGUUUUAGAGGUUCCGAGCACUACGUUUACAGUCAUUUCUUUUUUCAUUUUAAAUAUUUUUUUGUCGUGUCUAAUAAUUAAUCAGCUAAUUAAGAAUAUUUUUUUAGUAGCUAAAAAAGAAUAAUUUAUAUUACCACAGAGUGGCCCAAUGUUACAAAAAUAAUCAUGUUAGGUCUUCACUUUGAAAUUUUCACUAAAUUUUUUUUUAUAAAAUAUAGGGGUUACAGUAGAUCAUAUUUUAAAGUCAGUUCGUAGAAAUACACAGGGUGUUUUUAAUAUAUUUUUGCUUCAUAUUGGUAGUAUUUAAAUGCAAUGUUGUUAUUUUAGAUUUUUCCUGUACAUUUUUAAAGCUUUCAUAAAUUUAUGAAGUCGUAUUUUUUUAAUUGA